GAUGAAGAACGCAGUGAAAUGCGAUAAGUAGUGUGAAUUGCAGAAUUCAGUGAAUCAUCGAAUCUUUGAACGCACAUUGCGCCCUUUGGUAUUCCAAUGGGCAUGCCUGUUCGAGCGUCAUUUGUACCCUCAAGCUUUGCUUGGUGUUGGGCGUCUUGUCUCUAGCUUUGCUGGAGACUCGCCUUAAAGUAAUUGGCAGCCGGCCUACUGGUUUCGGAGCGCAGCACAAGUCGCACUCUCUAUCAGCAAAGGUCUAGCAUCCAUUAAGCCUUUUUUUUCAACUUUUGACCUCGGAUCAGGUAGGGAUACCCGCUGAACUUAAGCAUAUCAAUAAGCGGAGGA
rnacentral:misc_RNA from 1 species